GGACAGUUAGCUCAGUUGGUUAGAGUGCUACGUUGACAUCGUAGAGGUCAUUGGUUCGAAUCCGAUACUGUCCAC
rnacentral:tRNA from 1 species